GACGAACGCUGGCGGCGUGCUUAACACAUGCAAGUCGAACGAGAUCCAUCGAGUGGCAACACUUCGUGAAGAUCGAGUGGCGAACGGGUGCGUAACACGUGAGGAACCCACCCCGAACUCUGGGAUAACAGGCGGAAACGCUUGCUAAUACCGGAUACCUCCGCCGAGUCGCAUGGCUUGGCGAAGAAAGGUCUGCCGGUUCGGGACGGUCUCGCGGCCUAUCAGCUUGUUGGUGGGUAACGGCCUACCAAGGCAUCGACGGGUAGCUGGUCUGAGAGGAUGAUCAGCCACACUGGGACUGAGACACGGCCCAGACUCCUACGGGAGGCAG
rnacentral:rRNA from 1 species